rnacentral:rRNA from 1 species
UACGGGGGGAGCAAGCGUUGUUCGGAAUCAUUGGGCGUAAAGGGAGUGUAGGCGGUUCGGUAAGGGGGAUGUGAAAUGCCCCGGCUCACCCGGGGACCUGCAUCCCAAACUGCUGAGCUUGAGUACAGGAGAGGGUGGGGGAAUUCCAGGUGUAGCGGUGAAAUGCGUAGAUAUCUGGAGGAACACCGGUGGCGAAGGCGCCCACCUGGCCUGCUACUGACGCUGAGGCUCGAAAGCUAGGGGAGCAAACGGG